CGCCAAGAGAAAAGAAAACGUUUUUGCAAUUGCAGAAAUUUAUCUUCUCCACUGGCAAUAAUGACAGAUCUAACUCAGAGUCUUGGCCUGUUCUAUUUUGGAGGAAUCAAGAAUUGCAUCAGCAAGAAUGAUGUCACCCUUUAUAAUAAUUAAAAUGUCCAAAGAAACAAGAUAUGCCAGCGAAGAAAGCGAUUGUUUCUACUUUAUUUUUAUGAUUACUAGGUGUGGUCAGGACUAAGAGAAUGUCUAAUUUUCAUUAGUUAUGUUGUUUAGAGGAGGACA